UAGGGAUAAGAAUGAGGACAUGAGCCUGAAUUCCAAUCUUCCUCUGACCUUUUUAAUCCAGAUGGAUUGUGCAAUUUGCUGCCAGAACUGUGCUUUUCCUCUAAAAGGCUUCACUCAUCCCAAUCACCAGUUCUUCCCAGUUUGGGACAGAAAGCCUGUGUCUCCUGAAGAAGUAGCAGAGGAGCAGAGAGAACCCAGCAGAAGAACACUCAGGAAUAAAGCUACUGACCAUGUUGGAGCAUCUACAGAGUGCAUUAACACACAGUGCCCUUUAGCAACUUCAUGGUUAAGAGUCCAGUGAUUCCCUUUUCUUACCCACCUGCAAUAACGUGAGGCUGACCAUCGUGGCCAGUUUUCAAUCAUAUAAAUGCCCAACUUUAUAUUCUCAAGGAACUGAAGCAGUUG
rnacentral:lncRNA from 1 species